rnacentral:rRNA from 1 species
GCAAGUCGAGCGGACCGAYGGGAGCUUGCUCCCUUAGGUCAGCGGCGGACGGGUGAGUAACACGUGGGUAACCUGCCUGUAAGACUGGGAUAACUCCGGGAAACCGGGGCUAAUACCGGAUGCUUGAUUGAACCGCAUGGUUCAAUCAUAAAAGGUGGCUUUUAGCUACCACUURCAGAUGGACCCGCGGCGCAUUAGCUAGUUGGUGAGGUAACGGCUCACCAAGGCGACGAUGCGUAGCCGACCUGAGAGGGUGAUCGGCCACACUGGGACUGARACACGGCCCAGACUCCUACGGGAGGCAGCAGUAGGGAAUCUUCCGCAAUGGACGAAAGUCUGACGGAGCAACGCCGCGUGAGUGAUGAAGGUUUUCGGAUCGUAAAACUCUGUUGUUAGGGAAGAACAAGURCCGUUCGAAUAGGGCGGYACCUUGACGGUACCUAACCAGAAAGCCACGGCUAACUACGUGCCAGCAGCCGCGGUAAUACGUAGGUGGCAAGCGUUGUCCGGAAUUAUUGGGCGUAAAGCGCGCGCAGGCGGUUUCUUAAGUCUGAUGUGAAAGCCCCCGGCUCAACCGGGGAGGGUCAUUGGAAACUGGGGAACUUGAGUGCAGAAGAGGAGAGUGGAAUUCCACGUGUAGCGGUGAAAUGCGUAGAGAUGUGGAGGAACACCAGUGGCGAAGGCGACUCUCUGGUCUGUAACUGACGCUGAGGCGCGAAAGCGUGGGGAGCGAACAGGAUUAGAUACCCUGGUAGUCCACGCCGUAAACGAUGAGUGCUAAGUGUUAGAGGGUUUCCGCCCUUUAGUGCUGCAGCAAACGCAUUAAGCACUCCGCCUGGGGAGUACGGUCGCAAGACUGAAACUCAAAGGAAUUGACGGGGGCCCGCACAAGCGGUGGAGCAUGUGGUUUAAUUCGAAGCAACGCGAAGAACCUUACCAGGUCUUGACAUCCUCUGACAACCCUAGAGAUAGGGCUUCCCCUUCGGGGGCAGAGUGACAGGUGGUGCAUGGUUGUCGUCAGCUCGUGUCGUGAGAUGUUGGGUUAAGUCCCGCAA